rnacentral:rRNA from 1 species
UACGUAGGUGGCAAGCGUUGUCCGGAUUUACUGGGCGUAAAGAGCGCGCAGGCGGUCGUUCAAGUCGAGUGUGAAAGCCCCCGGCUCAACUGGGGAGGGUCACUCGAUACUGAUCGACUUGAAGGCAGGAGAGGGAAGCGGAAUUCCCGGUGUAGUGGUGAAAUGCGUAGAUAUCGGGAGGAACACCAGUGGCGAAGGCGGCUUCCUGGCCUGUUCUUGACGCUGAGGCGCGAAAGCUAGGGGAGUAAACGGG